CAAAGAAGGAAGUGACGGUGGGAUUUUCCUCUGAAGCUCAGAGGCGGCUGACUCCACCGCCACCUCCAUGAUGAGCUCCGUCUGAGACACAAACGUGUCGGUCCGCUCCAUCGCGGCCUGCGAGUCUCCUAGAGGAUCCGUGGACCGGAAACAGGCCAGCGUACCGGGUCUCGGACAAGGUAGUCCGGUCCCGGUUCAGCGAGUCUGUCACUGUCGGAGAAAAAGUGAAACACAAACACUUUGGAUCUUUGUAUCCAAUAUGGCUAUCUAACUACAUCCGGUUCACUGCCGAGUUCAUUUCAAAGUAAAGACACGUAUUCAUCCACUUCCCCAAACACUCAGAUAGUCACCUGACCGUCAGGGGACUCUCCCUAACCCUAACCUUCAGGUGAUUGUCCUGUGCCCUUAAGGAGUCUGUCAUGUGACCUUCAUGUGACCAUCAGGUGACUAUCAUUUGACUUUCAGGUAAUUGUCAUGUGACCGUCAUGUGACCAUAAGGAGAAUAGGCUCCUUGGAGAUGAGAUGAUGAUGUGUUUAUAAAUAUAUAUUUAUGUAGAAAUGUGUGUAUACCAGUAUUCUUUUUACAUGAGACAUUUUGAUGCUCAAUUUUAUACAUGUUAUCGAAAUACUUAUUAUUAUUAUUAUUAUUAUAAGAGAUGUCUUUAUAUUAAACAUGAGACUAAUAACCAACAAUCGAGUGUUAAAUAUUACAACUACACAACAUGGUGUUUCUGGGCUCUAAAACCUGCUGCUGCCUCGCUCUCGUGAGGUCAUCAAUGACCACGUGUUCAUGACGUCAGAGCAAGCCGGACACAAAUCUACCUAGAAUGCAUUGUGAUUGAUUCUGAUCAGGACAGGCUCAUCUCCAACAAGUCUACUGUCACGUAACCUUCAGAUGACUUUCAUGUGACCUUCAGGUGACUGUCCUGUGACCUUCAGGUAACUUCCAGGUGACUUUCAGGUGACUGUCAUGUGACCUUCAUGUGACUCUCAUGUGACUCUCAGAUAGCCUUCAGGUAACUUUCAUGUUGUCAAGAAAAUUACUUGUAGGUGUAGUUAACAACAUCAUCUCUGGUUGUCUAAUGUGUCACAACGUAACCAUCUGCACCCAUUUACACUGCAGUUAAACUGGAGUUAAACUAGAGUUAAUCUGAAAUUAUAAUACAGUUAAAUUGGAAUUAAACUAGAGUUAAUCUCGAGUUAAUCUUGAGUUACACUGGAGUUAAACUGCUGUUGAACUGCAGAUAAUGGAUGAGACCAAACCAACCAACAUGCCAAAAUAUUCUCAUUUAAAAAUAGUUAUUUUUUCAUCAUCAUAAAAAUGAUUUAAAUACAAAAACAUCAUAAAUUACUAUCUUUUGCUUCCACACACAGAUUCACAGACUAUUUUAAAAUAUAAAAAACAUGUUUGAUUGACAGAUUCAGGUCAUUUCUUUUACACAAAUAGUCUUUUUCCAGCAUUCUGCUACACGAAUAUCAGACCUUAAAAUACAUCUGAAUCUUUACCAGUGGUCAGAUAUAAAAAUAUCCAGUAGAAAGACGUCAGGAAGCUGUGCUACACUUUAACGGCCACGCCCCCAGCACUCUGAUUGGACAGCAGGAGAACACCUGCUCAAGUGUGUCUUGUUGCUGUUGGCUGAAAUAAUUUGGUGUUUUUCAUGUUUUGUAAAAACUUGAAUUUACUUAUUUUAUAUCCUCAUAAAGUACAAAAUAAAAUUGUUUUCUCACAUUAUUUCUUUGACAGUAUCUCAACAUGUGGACCAAGACCCACAGGAGGUAACUUCAAUUAUAAAACUAUUCAGAAAGACUUGUUUAUAAUUUAAAAACUAAAAUGUAUAUAAUAUAUUCAAAUAGUUGCAACUCCUCUGAUGCCAUAAUAUACAAAACUGUUCCAUAUUCAGACUUACUGUAUUAAUUGAUUAAUUAAUUUAUCUGAACUAAAAAUGUGUCAUCUUACCAUAUUACCUGACUAUAAAUUUAACAACUUUAUUUAAUUGAUUCUUGAUGUGUGAAUGCUAACAGCUCGCGCUGAUAACUGGGGAAGUUAUCUGACGUCUGUGAUUUUAAUUCAACUUUAUUGACUCUCCAGCUGAUUGACGGCAGUGAUGGGUCAACAGAUACUGGCAAUCAAACAAUUAGAAAAAAAUAGCUGUUUUUAACAUGAACAAGCUGUGUGGUGGCUGUGGUCUGCUGGCUUCAUCAUCAUCAUCUUCAUCAUCAUCAAUGACUACGUUUACAUGCACACUAAUAUUCCACUUAUUCUGAAUUUGAUCCGGCUCAUGUUUUGUUUUGAUAAUCUAUAUUAGGCUUCGGGACCAUCCUGUGGACGUAUAUUCAGCACAUUCACAAUAUUAACAUGACGUCUGAGUUUGAAAAGAAAGUGACAACGAGGGAACACCACAGGAGCAAAAAGACUGCACAUUAAAGGUUAUCUGGAGGACGGAUGUCAUGUGGGCAUUUCAUGUGAACGCGAACAUUAAUGGAAUAUUAACUUUCAUUGGCCAUGUUACCAGCCAAGUAGGAGUGUUGUCUCUUUUGCAAUAAGGGCAAAAAAACAAAUAUUUUCGAUAUGUAAACAUCAUCAUUGAUU